rnacentral:lncRNA from 1 species
UAUAAAACUAGGCUAUAGACUGUUAGAGAGAUGAGUAAAAAAAGGGACAAGAACAGAAAACAGAUCAAGCAUGCAUAAUCUAUGGAAGAGGACAUCCAUCUUAUUCAAGGGAUGCUCAGAAUAGCUCUCAGCAGAACUGGAGGCUGAAGAACAAUACACCUUGAAUCAUGAGAUUUUGGAUUCUCUGAGUCAGCCCUAGAGUGCCAGGUUCAGUGAUGACCCAGAUUCAAAUCUCACCUAUACUGCUGAUUAUCUGUGUGGUAUCAGAUUACCUCUUUCUCCCAUCAGGCUUGCUUUUCCCUUGGUUUAUGAUGCUGCUGGCAAGCCAUGCUAUUUCCUCUCUUGCCCUGCUGUGUCCCCAUAUCAUCUGGACAGCAAGCUGUGAUUCAGAAGCAGAGAAGGUGAGGGCUGCCCUCCCUCAUACUGUUUAAGAUUGAUGACAUACAAAAAGAGAGGAUGUUCAAGACUGUGUCGUUAUUCUGACUCUUCUAGGAAACCCUCCAGAGCUCAUUUCUCUUCUAUUUCCAUGACAUGGAAGUUAUGUCAAGACAAACAUAAUACAGUGCC